rfam:Brenneria goodwinii strain OBR1 genome assembly, contig: Contig
UUUUGCGUUGGCUUUACGCGCGAUGAUGCCGUUGCCGACCGCAUGUAAUAAGUGCGUCUUACCCAGGCCGGUUCCGCCGUA